rnacentral:siRNA from 1 species
UUAACACUCCUUAACAGCGCUCCU